rnacentral:rRNA from 1 species
GACGAACCGUCCCAAACGUUAUUCGGAAUCACUGGGCUUAAAGGGCGCGUAGGCGGCCGAGCGGGUCGCGGGUGAAAUCCUCCAGCUUAACUGGAGAACUGCCCUCGAUACCACUGCGGCUCGAGGAAGGAAGGGGUCAUGGGAACUGUCGGUGGAGCGGUGAAAUGCGUUGAUAUCGACAGGAACGCCCUGUGGACGAAGCGCAUGACGUGGUUCCUUUCUGACGCUGAGGCGACGAAACGCCGAGGGGAGACGAAACGGGUAUUAGAC